rnacentral:lncRNA from 1 species
GGGUACCUAGGGUUUCUGAUGGGAGGCUUGUAACUCUUGGUCACCUGGUACUCAGGACCAAGGUAGAAGUCUCCACUCUGUCCCAGGGCAUGUCAGCCUUGGCAGGGUGAUGUCCAGCUGGAUAAUCUCCUCUGGGGGCCGCCCCGGGCACAGUGUGUGAGCAGCACCCCCGGCCUCCACCCACUAGCUGCCUGUAACACCCCUCCCUGGCUGUCACCAGGUGUUACCAGAUGUCCGCUGGGGACAAAACUGACCCUGAUUGAGAACCACUGCUCUAUAGCAACAAUUUUCCCAAAUUGUUAUUUACAGAAAUACACUUGCUAAAAGGUGCGCGGUUUGAACCUUUUAGUAGAAUAUAGGGAAAGGUCUUUGUCUCGUCUUUGUCCUCCAGCUCUCUUCCAAAAGGCUCCUGUUGCUACUAGUUUCUUGUUUAUAACUGGAGAAGCACUUUGUACACACACACACACACACACACACACACACACACACACACGUCACUUUAUUUCUCUCUGUGUCUUGGGAAACGUAAGUUUUCUGUAUCAUUUUUAUGUAAUGAUUUGUUUUAGAGAUUUGUUCAUAUCAGUACAUGUGUCGAGGGAAAAAAAUUGUGGCAAAGAAGCAUUCAUUAGCCACUGCGGGAAUAAGUGGAACCUACCACAACUGAAAUUAAAUAUACUUUUCAGUAUCUUGGCAGUUAGUCGCAUGUUUUUUUCUUUUGAUCGUGUACUAUGAAGAGUUGUGAUAGUUGACGCUCUGCAUUUCGAGUCCUCACUGCAUUCCUGGGAUGAAUUCUACCAGGUCUUGCCGUGAGGUGUUUUCUUUGUCGUCGGCGUCGGCAUCCUGACUCUGCCAACAGUUUUCCAACACAUUUUCCAUGAUGUUACAUGCAGAAGGGACAUCAGUAUCUUCUUUCUUGGGUUGGAAAUUCUGUUUCACUAGCAUUUCAUCUUCAUGAAGGUAAUCUGGAAGCUUGCUCCCUUUCUGCAUCCCCUGUUUCAGAUUAAAGAGUGGGUAGGAUUCAUUCUUGCAACUGUCUGGACCUGGUGCUUUGGGGGUGGGUUGUUCUUUUACUUUAUGUCUUUUUUUUUUUUUGCCGUUUCUAGGGCCCCUCCCCUUGCAAAUGGAGGUUCCCAGGCCAGGGGUCUAAUCGGAGCUGUAGCUGGCAGGCUACGCCACAGCCACAGCAACGAGGGAUCCAAAUAGCAUCUGUGACCUACACCACAGCUCACGGCAACGCUGGAUCCUCAACCCACUGAACAAGGCCAGGGAUCGAACCCCGCAACCUCAUGGUUCCUAGUCGGAUUUGUUGACCACUAUGCCAUGAUAGGAACUCCAACUUUAUGUCAUUAACGAUACAUUUUUACUUAUAUUAUCAGUUUUAAAUAUUACCUUUGGCUUCCAACAAUACAGAAUAGAAACCCUGGAAUUCUCUUCUUCUGCUUCCUUUCUUCUCUUUUUUUUCCUCCUCACCAAUUUUCUCUCUAGAUGGUCACGAUUGAUAAUAUUUGCCUUCUAUUGUAGGACCCUAAUUCCUGCACUUAUCUUGGUCUUAAAACUGAGAUGAAUCAGUUCUCACAUCAACCCUUCUGCUGUGGUUCCCUCCUUCUCAUCAGAAUUGUGUUCCUUGCAUCUUUGAAUACUCAAAAAUAUUUGUCCCUUGCUCAGAUGUUUGAAUGAAGGUCUAGCUGAGGAAACGAAAAAGUCUUGGAAGAUUUGUCGGCCUGGUUUCUUUUUCUCCUACAGUGGAGUCAGGUUUUGGAGAAGGGGGAGGCUGGUUAGAACUGUUUUCCUUUGCAAGCAUCUCGAUGUGUUUUCCUGUGUGUUCAAAGCCCUUUUGUGUGAUGAUUAAACUCCAGCAAUGUCGUGAGACUAUAUCGGGGUGUUAAUUGUCCUGUCUUCCUUUCCUCUUGAGCUUUGAUGAGGCUUCGCUCUUCAGAAACACCUUUUCUUUUAUCUUGUAAAAAUUUUCUUGAAGUACGUCUCUCUCGCUCUCUUCGUUUGGUUCUGUUGACUGGGGACACUGACUAUGCUCCUGUCGGAUCUUUAAAACUGUUUCGUAUCUAUGACGUCCUCUUUAACCGUCUUAGAUUCUUUCUCAGUUUGGUUUUAUUUCAUUUUGUUUUCUCGGUCAUGUUCUACGUGUGUCUUUUUCUCGGGGUGUUUUGCUUCCGUGGGGGCGUUCGUUGGAUGAGGGAUGUGAUUUUUCUUUUCAACUCCUUCUCUGGGCUCCGCCAGCCAUGCCUCAUUCACCUCCUCAUGCUUCUCUUCCACUUCCUUCCAGACCCUCGUGGCCCAGGUCCAGUUCUCUGCUGGUUCCUCAAGAGGGAUCUCUGGACUCGGAUGCUGGUCUGGUGGGAGACGCACCUGCCUGACCUGCCUCCAUCUGUCCUUUGCUCUCCCUGCUCCCCCUUUCCUUCCCCCGAUCCUCUCUGGGUCUGUAUCCCGCUCGGUUCCCUCUGUGAUAACUGGCCACAUUUACACGAGGCGAGCACUAUUGUGAGUGAACCCAGCGUCGUGACUGGCCUAGAACUUUCCUGGUUUUGCACAGCCAACCCCACAUUCCAGGACAGCCUCCAUCCCAGGCAGUUGGGCAAGGUUGGUCAGCCUGGUGCUGAAGAAACUCUUCUUGGCAAGAGGUUGUGUGGGAGAGGUCGGCACUGCGUUCUGAGCCAUGGGCACCUCUCCUGGUUCGUAGGAAAGCACCUUCCACGGGGAGNAGCCUGCUUAGGUCUGUCUUAGGGAUUCACAGGUUUCUAAGCUCCAUUUCCUCCCUACGCAUUUCUCUCCUGCCUCCUCCUCAUACGUUGCUGAACUUUAUCUCUUUUUUGGGUAGGAAAAGUAGUUUUUAUAGCAUCAGUCUAGCCUUCCUUCCUAAAUUAACAGCAUCCAUAUGGUUUUUUUAUACUUAAAAUAUGCCAGCUCUUACAACCCCAAAAGACAUUUUUCUUAAAAUUUUGAUAUUUACUAUGGUUUAAAAAAUUUUUUUUGGAUGUAGCUAUAAAAAUCCCUCCUUCUCCCCAGUGAAUUGGCCGCCUCUGAUUGAACACAGGGAAAGACCAGCCAAAGGAGUGCAGGCACAUUUGGAAAGCUUGGCUUUCGGUCUCUACAUUUCCCUCUUCUUCCAGCGUUUUAAAGCCAAACUGGGGAGGACUUUAUGCUUCUGCUUUUCAUAUGCAGGGACGGGUCUAGGGAAGCAAAAGAUGGCCCAGAUACAGGGGCGAGGUGCUGGGCGGGAUGGUUCCGGGGCCUGCAACAGGGGGACAAAGCUGGCAUUGAGGCUCUCAAAGGCAACAGGGGUCCUAAAUCCUAAAUCCCCCCUGUACCCCUGAGGUGUACUUCUUCCUUGGUGGGAACCCUCAAAAUGUGCAAAGGGUUUCUGAGAUGCCCACAGCUGUGUGAUGAGCGUCUUCGUGGGCAGCUGGGCAAAGGGAAAGGACUCAAGAAAAGCCACCUCCAGGGGAAGGGCAACGCCUGCCCAGGAAGAGCAGCCCCUGAAAAGGCCACACAGGGCUGUAAGCAGCCCUCCGGUUGGUCACGGGACAUGGAGGGCUUGGUGUCAUCCUCAGAUGCCCUAAUGUGGCUUAAUUACCAGGACGGAGGCCUGUCUCGUGCUGCUAAUGGGCCCGCAGCCAGGAGCCAUCCUUGAUAAAUCAAUAUGCAAGGAAUUCAAUGAGAUUGCCUGGCUGAGUUUGGCCCCGUGGCUGAGGAAACCAUACAACACGUGGUCGAUUUUGGAGGAAUGUUUCCAACCGCUUGAUGUGUUUGUUUCCUUCCGUAGGCUCCCGGGGAGAGGAGGGGUGACGAAACGCCAGGUAUCUGCAGUGUGGCUCCCAUCCCGGAUCAGCUGGGCCCCUAAGGUUUGUGCCUCCUAGAACACUCGCGGUUCUGGAAGGAAUGAUGAUGGGGCCGUGUGCCGGGGAGCAUCGCUCUCAGGAAUGCUGCAGAAUGUUUAGGGUGAACAGUGCAACUCUGUGGAAAAAGGGGCAAUGCCUGCUUUAGGUGACGCGGAGAAAGCUGAGAAUGAUUCAGCCUGUGCUGGCCCGGGAAUUCAUGGGCCGCAAAUCCCAGGCUGCAUUCCAGUUCAUGGAAGGUUCCUUUUGGACCCGAGAUGAUGCCAUAAGAGAUUCCUUCUUGACAGCAUCCCUCCGACGUCUGUGGCUCCACUUUUAGUUCCAGCAUGAGUCCCGUUGUCCAGAUGAGGAAACCAGAGCUUAGAAAGGUGCGUACUUGCGCUUGAGUCACUCUGUCCUUUAGUGGUGACGCUGCGAGCGGACGCUUGUGCCCACACAGGGAUGUGUGUUGUUCCAAGCUGUGCUUGAAGAACGGACUCUGAAUGAGCCGCGUCUGCCGAGGGCUGGCUGGAGGCAGACAGACGCUGGUCUGAGGACGCUCAGGGCAACUGACCCAUCCCGACCUUCACAGCCCUGCCUGUAGAGGGUCCUCAUGACAGAUGGACAGGAGGGAGAAGCUGGAUGCAGCAUGGGAACACCAUGACGAAGAAGCCCAGAAUGUCAGCUGCUUCCACCCCCAGUCCCCGGAGACAGCGGGAGCCACUGCGGUUCUGAUCUUGGCUUUCUUGCAGCCAAGCCAAGGAGGAGACGAUACUGGAUGAUCAAGACAGUGGCAGUGGGAGUUCCCAUCGUGGUUCCGCCAGUUAAGGACCCCACGUCGUUUCUGUGAGGAUGCAGGUUCCAUCCUUGGCCUCACUCAGUGGGUUAAGGAUCUGGUGUUGCUGAGAGCUGUGGUGUAGGUCGAAGAUGCAGCUC